rnacentral:rRNA from 1 species
AGAGUUUGAUCAUGGCUCAGGAUGAACGCUAGCGGCAGGCUUAACACAUGCAAGUCGAGGGGUAUAGGUUUUCGGACCUAGAGACCGGCGCACGGGUGCGUAACGCGUAUGCAAUCUACCUUUUACAGAGGGAUAGCCCAGAGAAAUUUGGAUUAAUACCUCAUAGCAUUGCAGAAUGGCAUCAUUCAGCAAUUAAAGUCACAACGGUAAAAGAUGAGCAUGCGUCCCAUUAGCUUGUUGGUAAGGUAACGGCUUACCAAGGCAACGAUGGGUAGGGGUCCUGAGAGGGAGAUCCCCCACACUGGUACUGAGACACGGACCAGACUCCUACGGGAGGCAGCAGUGAGGAAUAUUGGUCAAUGGGCGCAAGCCUGAACCAGCCAUGCCGCGUGCAGGAUGAAGCAUCUAUGGUGUGUAAACUGCUUUUGUACGAGAAGAAACACUCCUACGUGUAGGAGCUUGACGGUAUCGUAAGAAUAAGGACCGGCUAACUCCGUGCCAGCAGCCGCGGUAAUACGGAGGGUCCAAGCGUUAUCCGGAAUCAUUGGGUUUAAAGGGUCCGUAGGCGGUUUUGUAAGUCAGUGGUGAAAGCCCAUCGCUCAACGGUGGAACGGCCAUUGAUACUGCAAGACUUGAAUUAUUGUGAAGUAACUAGAAUAUGUAGUGUAGCGGUGAAAUGCUUAGAGAUUACAUGGAAUACCAAUUGCGAAGGCAGGUUACUAACAAUAUAUUGACGCUGAUGGACGAAAGCGUGGGUAGCGAACAGGAUUAGAUACCCUAGUAGUCC